GCUACUUGGUCAUUUGUUUUUUAUGCCGGUGAAGUGGGCUGUGUGUGUGCGGGCCGGGUAUGCCGCCAGCUGGGUGAAUUUCGUGAACAAUCGCCGUGUUGGCCACCGGUCUCCCUACACUCAACUAAUAACUGGAUGGACGUUUUACUCGGAGGAACUUGGAAUAGGACUGCAAGAGAGAAACCGGGGAAUUUCCAACUGAACAAAACGGGAUGUAGCUAGCUAACUAACCGCAGACCAACAUGUCAAGUGGAACAAAAGAGACUUCUUGUUGUUAUUCGCCUCCGUGCACGAGUCUCAGCGGACUGAACUAACCAGCAGCUAAACCCGGCUAACGUUAGCUGAGUUAGCUAGCUAUAUUACGGGUAAAACUAGCUAGCUUUAAACAUUUUUUACUAUUUUUAAACAACAUUUAAAUUGACCGUGGCACUCGGGAGUUUACCGCUAACAUUAAGACAAGAUCCCGGCUAGCGUCACAACAUUGACUUAAGUUGACAUGUUAAGAAGCUAACGUUAACUAGCUUCACUUCGCUCGGAGUUAUAACGUUAACGUUACUAGCUAGCUAACGUUACAUCAGUGUUUGUCAAUAUAGCGAGCUAUUGUUCUGGUCGAGCUUGUAUUACUAAUACUACAUUAUAUAAGAUAGUGUGACCAUCUAUUAUCUACUGAUUUAGGUGAAUAAUAUUUGCAGUUGGCACAGUCAAAAUAACACUUCAACUUUACUAGCUAGCUAGCUAGGUGGUAACGUUUGUGUAUCUAACGCGAGCUACCUUACCAACUUCGUUUCUCAUGCUAGAUUAGCAACACUGCUUUUCUUUUUGUCUUUCAUCCCGGAUACAGACAUACUUUAUGAAGUGGAUUCCUCUCUGUGUUUACAGUUUAAAACAUCCUUGCUUGCCUCUUUGGUGAGUGGAUCAUAUUAACAUUUGCUCGCCAUGGCAGCAGUGGUUAGCUACUCUCCACCAUGGUGGGUGAACCUUAUACACAGACUUCCCCAUUUCAACUUCAUGUUCGAGCAAACAAGCAGUGAUUUCCGACCAGAGGACUGGACAUAUCAACAGUCUAUCCUGUUACUGGGUGGUGUGGCGCUCGCCUGUCUGGCACUGGACCUCCUGUUCCUGCUUAUCUAUUCCAUUUGUCUGUGCUGCCGGCGAAAAAAGAAUGAGGAUCAGCCCGGCGCUGACUGCUGCUGCACAGCCUGGUGUGUCAUCAUUGCAACACUCGUCUGCAGCGCUGGCAUUGCUGUCGGUUUCUAUGGGAACGGCGAGACUUGUGAUGGAGUGAACCGGCUGACAUAUUCCCUGCGCCAUGCUAACCGCACAAUCACUGGGGUGGAGAAGCUGGUAUAUGACAGUACAUCCUCAUUGAACCAGACUGUAGACAACAAUCUGCAACAGCUUGAGGGCCAGUAUGCACAGCACGCAGACUACCUGUCCAUCAUCCAAAAGCUGCAGGGCCAGCUGGAUGAGCUGGUCAGACAGAUGGUGGAGAUCCCCUUCUGGGACAACACCGACAUCUCCCUGGAGGAACUGGCCGUCAAGAUUGAGCUGUUUGACUGGUACAGGUGGCUGGGCUACAUAGGCCUGCUACUGUUCGACGUCCUCAUCUGCCUUCUGGUGCUGUUUGGCCUCAUUCGCAACUCCAAGGGAACGCUUAUAGGGGUGUGCUUGUUUGGUGUAGUGGCUCUCAUAGUCAGCUGGGUCUCCCUUGGGCUGGAAUUGGCCGUCUCUGCGACCUCCAGUGACUUCUGUGUUGCCCCUGACACGUAUGUCACCAAAGUGGCAGACCAGUAUGGAGUCAUCAAUCAAGAUAUUUUGCAGCACUACCUUAGUUGCAGUUUGGAACAAACAAACCCCUUCCAACAGAAGCUCUCCGGGAGUCACAAAGCAUUAGUGGAGAUGCAGGAUGACGUAUCUGAACUGCUGCGCUCUGCCACCAGAGAGUACAAACAAACUCAGGGAAGUUUAGAAGAGAUCCAGGGGAUACUGAACACCACAGAGAUCAGUCUACAUCAGCUCACUGCCCUGGUGGACUGUCGCAGCCUGCACAUGGACUUUGUCCAGGCAAUGACGGGGCUGUGUUAUGAUGGAUUGGAAGGCCUCAUCUACCUCGUGCUCUUCUCCUUCAUCACUGCUCUCAUGUUCAGCUCGAUUGUUUGCAGUGUGCCUCAUACCUGGCAGAGAAAGGGUAACGAGGAGGAUAGUGAGGAUGAGUCUCUGAGCCACGGGGGAAGGCAAAACCAUGAUAACCUGUACCGGGUCCACAUGCCCAGCCUGUACAGCUGUGGCAGCAGCUUCGGCAGCGAGACCUCCAUCCCUGCCACAGCCCACACCGUCAGCAACGCACCGGUCACCGAGUACAUGGCUCAGAAUGCCAACUUUCAGAAUUCUCGCUGUGAAAACACACCUCUGAUAGGACGAGAGUCUCCUCCGCCCUCGUUGUAUUUGACUGCCGCGGACAGUAACAGCGGUCACAGCUGGCAGUUAAAGCCUUCGGAGAGUUCAAGAUCGUUUUGGUAACCUCAUCUGCGACGCUAACAGAUUCCAGGGCUCUGGAGUAACUAGUUUGAAAGUACACCUCCAGCAUGCGGGCAAAGUACCUGGCUAACAGCCGACCAGAUCCCAACAGUCCCCCUCCAGCACACUAAACAACACUGGACGCAUCCUGUCUGCAGCACUGACGUCUCUGAAGUCUCUCAUCCAGUCAGUUCUUAUUUCUCGUACCUUUCAGUCACUCCUCCUGCUUUCUUCCACCGUCUAACUUGACUUAAAAUGGAAAAACAAAUGCUUUUUUUUUUUGCUGGUUGGUUAAAGCAAAAAUUAAGGAAUCCUGCAAAUCAUAGGGCACAUACUUUUUCUCCACAAUCCUUGGCUGAUGUUUAUUAAUGAAAUAAUCAUCAUUGGUGCUGGGAAUUCAUCUGCAACGCUGAUGUGAUGGAGCCUGGACUGACUUUUACACUCCAACUUAUCAUUUCUUUACACAUGAAUGCACCACGACAAGCACAGUGUCACAUCUAACAAAACAUUGCAGUGUUGAGGACUCUGGAAGUGCUCAUAGACUAACACUGAUUACUACUGGUUGUUGAUUUAGUUUAGUAAAGUACUUUACUGCACUCUGUCAUUGCUGUGGGAGAGCGUAGGAGAAAUGCCUUACACAUAGAGGAGGAAUCAGCUGUUUUCUCUUCCCACCUGAAGUGUAGACAUUAUUUCUCACAUAACACACAACGUAGAUCAAACGGUAGUAGAAUAGAUUCAUCUUACAGUGCAACAUCUCCUAUUUCUGCUUGUGGAAUUUGAAAUGCAAGUCUGCUGUUUGAGUCAACAAGAUUAUGAUUAUUCUCCAGUUAAAGUCGUCAUACUGUAUAUUACACAUGCACAUUGGCUUGUUUUUGCAUUUUGUGUUAAAUCCAAUGUCUGGGACCAGUUUUCCUGCAGUGUUGCACGUCUUACAGGUCUGAAAUUGAAUUUUUUCUUCUUGGGACACUUCCUUGGGACAUUUCCUGUGGCAUUUUACAUUGAUGAGCCACUAUUCUACAGCAAUGAAUGCAACUUGUUAAACUGUGAACUUGAUUCUGGCACAUGCUCUCAGAGGACAAAGAUGAGCUGUGUGAUGGAAAUGCAGCUGUUUGACAAGAAGAGUCUCAGCAGGAUGACGAUGACCAAUGCCGAAAAAAAGAAUGAAACGGUAACGAGUUUGACGAAGAGUUUGACUACUGGAAGCAGAAACUUUAUUUUACAGCCCAUUGAAGACGAUGGUGAAGCAGCGGAGGACAGGGUUGUGCGUGAUGUCUUCUGCCACAUUACUCCAGACUUUUUAUGAUAAUUUGCCUCUUCACCAGACUGCUUGUUAUUCUCCUCACAUUCCUGUUAAGUUGUAAAGCCUCAUCUCCCUGCAUCAGAACUGGGAAUAGUCCACACACUCAUCCUUAACUCUGUCCGCCAAUGAUCCUCUCCACCAGAUGCAGCAGUUUAGAGUCAGAAAUUCCUCUCACAAGAAUCGUAAUGCAAUUUUAUGUGACGUUAUGCAUAUCGCAGUUUCUAGGAGAAUUUCAGAAAGAAACUUUAUGCAUUGGCAAUGCAGUGUCUCACAAAUGUGUUUUAGCAUUUAUAACAGAAAGUAGAUAAGAGUGAGUGGAUGCUGUGAAGGGAUUGUGAUAACUCGGCUUUAUAUAAUCUGGAAAUUGUCAAAGGAAACCUGCUGACUGCCUGUUGAAGCAUGACGAUCUUUCAAAUGUGGAGUGAGUUGUUUGUACUUCGGCUGCUUCAACUUGCUUCUCUUAGAUGUGCAUUGUGACCAGAAAAAAAAGGUGAUUUUGUUUGUGCCAACAAGUGAAGCACAACUCUUUUACUAUAUGAAUAUCUUUUUAAAUGUCUUUACUUGAGGCCACUUUGUAAAGUUUGCAGCUCCAGCUGUGCAAUCAAAUGAGAAAAUGAGCCUGUAAUCAUUUAUGCUCUGUAAAACAUGAUUACACUGAUGCAAUCUUUCUGUUUUGGGGUAAUAGUCAUAUUCUCUUUGUUGUUUGUAAUGCAAGGUGGUUGUACAGAAUAUAAACAUUAACAAAAUGCAAAAGAAAAAACAGUGGCUGAAAAUGACAUUUCAGUUUUAAUUUCUUAAAAAGCUUACUCCAUUUGAUUUGCUUUAGGUUUUUCAUUUCAUUUUAGAAUCUCUAGCACACACAAUGUAUUGCUUCAUUAAUGUGAAUACGUUAAAUAGAUUUAAAUUUGUCUUGAGUUUUUUUUCUGGAAAAAAAAUCACUCUAGAUGUAAUCUUUUUUUCUUCUUUUAUACAUCAUUUUGCAAUCUUUAAAACGUGUACAUGUAAAACCUGUGGUUAUAUUGAGCUUGAAUGCUGUGUUUUAAAAAUAAACAAACUUAACUGUAGUG